CACUGGUCUUGUAAACCAAAAAUGGAGGACACAACUCUCCCUAAGACU
rnacentral:tRNA from 1 species